CAGAAGGGAGAGGAGAGGAAGAAAAAAAUGAGAGACCUUGGACAGAGCCCUGGGGAGCCUGGGGACUGAAUGGCUGGGCAAGCUAGAAGCUGAUCCCUUCUUUGUGUGGGAGAACCCUCCACGUUUCUAUUCAACACAAAUGGACAGAGGCUGUGUUUUGGCAACAAAUUUCGGGGGCUUGUCCGGGAUCGACUCGUGGGCAGCCAGCCUCAAAGGGCACCUCAGCUUGAUGGAUGCUUUGCAGUUUCUCUCUACGAUGGCCUGCCUUCUUCAGGAGAGCGGAGGGUUGCAGGACACCUCUAGGGGCCAGAUGGCCUGGGAUCCCUGCUGUGGGAAUGUGCCCUGAAAAUACCUGUCCUGCCAUCUCGGCAGUUGGACCUCUGAGGCUGGAGUGGAAGACAAGCGAAAGACCGGCCUAGCAGCUGCCAAGGUCAUCUUCACCUUGUAAGGACCUCUCUCUUUUCUGCUUGCACGGGCCCAAACCUCUACUCUGAGAAAUCAUUUUGGGGAAGAAGAAACAUAGCAUCUGGGAUAUUGAGACACCAAUGCCAGCAUCUGACUGCCCAGAUGGACUAAGAAAGACACAUACAGACAGAAGCCCAUGUGAGGACACAGUGAGAAGGCAGCCAUCUACCAACCAAGGAGAGAGGCCUCAGCAGAAACCAGCCCUGCCCACACCUUGAACUUGGACGUCCAGCCUCCAGAACUGUGUUGUGAGCCUUAAGUUAUGGAUGCAGCGAUGACGCAUUACGAACCACCCCUACCAUCAUCGUGAGGAUAGGGGACUCGAGGCAGAUCAGCCACCAGCACCAGAAAACAGGCUUUCAAACCAACAAGAGAAGACAGGAUCGUAAUACCCUCCUAACAACAUUGCCUUAUUGAUGCAGUGCAAGGAAAACUACAUUAGAUUCUAUUGAUUCUCUUUGAGAUCUAAUAAUAGGCUUUCUUCAGAUCUUGUUCACAUACCUCAUACCUCUUCCUCCACGAGUCUAUCUCAGGAGCUGAAAUCGGCCAGUUACAAACAGCAUUGGUUCUGCAGUCAUAUGCAGUCACAGAAGCGAAGGUCGUGUUUUCGAACACAAAAGCUACGACGCUUUCUUUGGGAAACAGGGCACGGCUGGGGAAAAAAAAAAUAUCUCGCUUCUCAAGAAAAUGGAAAGCGUGGCUAACUUCAGAUUUAUUUGAUUACAAAGUCUUUCUCGGGGCUAAUCAGUUUUAGAACCCGUUCUUAUUGGCACCAGCGAGCCAAUAAAAGAGCCAGAAGGAGAGAAGAAAUAUCACAUCAACUCAGAAAAACAAGGUUGUUCAUUUUUUAAAAGAGCAUUGAAUUAACGUUUACACCCCUGCAUCAGCUUAUUUAUACAGACGCUAUAGGAGAUUCUUUGCAUCUGCAGAAUUUGUUAGCAUUCCGAGUUUGAUAGAUUGUACCUGACUUACUUGUGAAAAAUCAUCUCAAGAAAGAUCUGCCCCCCACCCUGGGAAAAUAUGUAAAUGAAUAGCCAGAAACGCUCAGCGGAAGGGAGAGGCCGGAUUUUAGAUGUCACGAUGGAUGGUUAAGAAUUUGGGCUUUGGGGCAGUGGCGUGAUGCUCAAGUCACCUCUGAACUUCACUAUCCUCAUCCCUAGGAUGGGUUCCAAACCAGGGUUUUCUGUAAAUAUUCAGUGGGCUAAUGCAUGCACGGAGGUUCUACAUUAACCCUCCCAGAGGCCAAAUGAGAAGCCAAGAAAUGCCAGCUUAUUUAUUAUUGUUGUUGUUAUUAUUAUUAUAGAGAAUCUUUGAAUGCUUUAUCCUUCAUCUGAGGAAAAAAUCACAAAAAAGGAUUCAAUAUGUAGAGAGAAAAAAAGUCUUGGAGUUCUCUGAUGGCCUAGCAGUUAAAGGAUUUGGUAUUGUCACUUCUGUGGCAUGGGUUCCAUCCCUUAGCACGCGUGUUCUUCAUCCUUUCUAAAAGAGAUGUUACCACAGUUCCUGUUGUUAGCGCACCUGAUAAGUGUCCAUGAGGAUGCAGGUUCGAUUCCUGGCCUCGCUCAGUGGGUUAAGGAUCCGGUGUUGCCA